ACGGGAGGCAGCAGUGGGGAAUAUUGGGCAAUGGGCGAAAGCCUGACCCAGCAACGCCGCGUGAAGGAAGAAGGUCUUCGGAUUGUAAACUUCUUUUAUGGGGGACGAACAAAUGACGGUACUCCAUGAAUAAGCCACGGCUAACUACGUGCCAGCAGCCGCGGUAAUACGUAGGUGGCAAGCGUUAUCCGGAUUUACUGGGUGUAAAGGGCGCGUAGGCGGGAAAGCAAGUCAGAUGUGAAAUCCAUGAGCUCAACUCAUGAACUGCAUUUGAAACUGUUUUUCUUGAGUGUCGGAGAGGUAGAUGGAAUUCCUAGUGUAGCGGUGAAAUGCGUAGAUAUUAGGAAGAACACCAGUGGCGAAGGCGAUCUACUGGACGAUAACUGACGCUGAGGCGCGAAAGCGUGGGGAGCAAACAGGAUUAGAUACCCUGGUA
rnacentral:rRNA from 1 species